UUAAAAACGACUAUUAUUAUAAAAAGAUUUCUAUUAAAAAAGACUUUCUAUUUAAUGCGACAAUUAAUUAGGACAAUUAAUUGUGUAGGAAGAGAACACACGCGCGAGAAAAGACACGCGACCGGCGAAAUACAUUAAAGACGCCUAGACAUCAUUUUCACGGCUGGCACGUUAGCUAUAGCUAAUAGAUCGUGAGAGAAAGAAAGCAGCGUCGUCUGUACUCUUCCAUCGCUCGAUCUUAGCCGAAGCGCCGAGUGCUAUAAUUCGUGACGGGCAGGCGCACGUACACGGUAGUUUGCUUGUGCGCGCGCCGCUGGACACACUGUAGCUGUGCUGUUUGGGUCCUGAAACUGGCAUCAUUGCUGAUUAAAGCCUUAGAUCCUAGAUUAUCAAACAAGCACAACCGUUAUCCCCUCCAUAGUUCCCGUCCGACAUAAAUACUGAGUUCACAAUUAUCAAAGCAAUCUGAAAGAUAUGGCAUACAAUAUCAGCAGAAAAAACAUUGUUAUUAGCAAUAUGGAUGAUGGCAACUUCUAAUUCGUACAGAUGUGUUGCUGAUCGUUUCGAUGUUGGCUUGGAGAUAUGUUCAAAAGGUUAUCAACACUAUAUUUGGACCUUGACACAUUUAUUACAUGACCAGAUAGGGAAAGAGCAAAGGAAAUAUGGACAUAUGUUAAAAACAAAUAUUCGUUUCCUAAAGUUAUAGGAGCAAUAGAUGGUACUCACAUAAAAAUUGCAAAACCAAAAAUAGAUUCGGAUGCUUAUAUAAAUAGAAAAGGAUAUCAGUCCAUACAGUUACAGAUAAUAUGUGAUCAUGAAUUACAAUUCACCCACGUUUAUGCAGGACAGGUAGGAUCGGUCCAUGAUAUGAAAAUUUUUCGAUUAUCAGGUGUUGAAAACUGGUGUACAACGCAAAACUUCCCUGAAAAUAGUCAUUUGUUGGGUGACGCUGCAUAUAGCAUACAAAAAUAUGUAAUGACCCCAUUUAAAGACAAUUGAUAUUUAAGUGAUGCACAAACCACAUAUAAUGUCCGAUUGUCUCAAGCCAGAAUGAUGAUCGAAAGAGCAAUAGGCUUAUUGAAGGGAAGAUUCAGAAACAUUUUGGAUAUAUUGCCUAUGAAACGAACUGCUUUAAUUCCGAAAUAUAUCGUUGCAUGCUGCAUUCUGCACAAUAUAUGUUUAAUAAAAAAUGAUCACAUAGAUAUACCUAUAAUUGUAGAAGAUGAAUUUGUACAAAGUGCAGCUCAAAAUAGAACAAUGUUCGAAGGUUUACGACAAGAAGGGAUUGACAAACGCAACGCAAUUAUGUAUUCUUUACAAAAUGAACAUUAUUAAUAUUUUGUGUAAUAAAA